rnacentral:lncRNA from 1 species
AAUUCCAGGGAAGUUCAACUACAUGGCCAACUAGAUGGUAGUUAAUACUACUCCCUCCGUACCACAAUGUAAGUCACUUUGGCCAAAUUACACAAAUGUGAUUAAUGUUGUAUGGAAAAGAGAAAUUAUGAGUUAGUUUACAAAAUUGUCCUUCAUUAAUGGUAUAGGAAAGAUAAAUUGAAGAAUUGAAAGAAGAGAGUAAUAAAUAAUGAAGGGUAUAAUAAAAAAAAUAACAUUAAAUGUUUCAUUGGUAAUGUAAAGUGACUUAUAAUUUGGUACAAUUUUUUUCUCAGAGUGACUUAUAAUUUGGUAUGGAGGGAGUACCUAUUAACACCAUCAUAUUCUUUGGAAAUGAUAGAUAAAUGUUUGCACUCAAAGGAGCUUAUGGUUAAAGGUGCAUCCCAAUAUUUUUGGAAUUUGGGUGAAGCCUGAGGUUAACUGCUAAAUGGUAAACUCAUGAUAAUUAGCUUUGAGCACUUCCCUACAACUGAGGCUAAAUAUAUAUUUGUUCAUAGUCAAAUGUUUGUAAAUUAGUACUAAGUUUAGCUUUCAGAGUUUGAACUCAAAAUCCCCUCUUUAGAACAUCUUCGGCGUCCUUCAACUCAUCGACCAAUGUGCCUAUUUGGGACCGUUACUAGGUUUUGAUAAGCCGGCAAGUGAAGGUCCCUUGUUCAAAUACAGUUAAUUUUUUCAUCAAGUUCUUGGAGCUUGUAAUGUAUCAAUCCAUGAUUGAUUAGUUGUUUUGUGUAAAAGUUGUGCUAUUUAAACAUCAAAAUACAAACGAUGUAUGUAACAUCGUAUGUUUAUGUCUAUUUCUCUCGUGUUUUUUAUCUUUACAAUUUACAUGAAUUUCAAAAAAUACAGGCAAAAAUUAAAGGACACUUAUUUGGUGUCAAAAUUUUGAUGUCAAAGUAUCAUUUUUCAAUUUGCAUAUUAUUUGGUUCAAACAACAAUAUGCAAUAAGUUUAAUAGAGAUCAAAGUGUUCAAAUUGCUCAGAACUACUUUACGGAAGAAUUUAAGAUAACAAUUUCAGUGUACACACGGCUGUCAUAACAACGCACCUUGAGAGUUGCAGUGCGGUGGUGGAACUGUGCACCACGAAUACGAUUUGCGGUGGCUUAGCAGUGAUGCGUAUUAGAAUUUGUGACAAUGCGGCCACUCAUUUGGUGGCAAUCCAGUGAGAUUUGUGUCGCCGGAACUGAAAUGAAAGAAAGUUAGAAAAAGACUCCGGUGAAAGCUCGGUAUCUCAGAUUGCGGCGGUGUCGAUAACUGACUAAAGAUUGCAUCUUGUUACCCGAAUUGUUCAUGCCACAAAUACUAUUCACACAUUUGUAUGUGUCUGUUUUGUUGGUCAAAGCA